GAGAAAUAAUUUUUUGUUGUUUAAAUCACCCAAACUGUAGUAUUUUGUUGUGGCAGCCCAAGCCAAUUAUUAUACCAUGUAAGCAGGUUACUUAAAUUUACUAAAUAUGUAAGUUACUUAAAUCUAACGAGGAUUAUUUUCAGAAAUUUAGGCCCAAUUUAGUCCAGAUGUCAGGGCUAGUUUGGAGUAAAUUUCUUUCUUUAAUUACUCCAGGGCUCUUGUAUUGCUUCAAAGAAAGUAGAAAGUGGAACUCACCCUCAUUCAGGGAGGGUGGGCAAGCGACCAGCCAGCUGGGGAAGGCCAAAGAGCCAGGUCACCUUGUGCCCGCACUUGUUAUGAUUUGUUUGUAUUGUCUGCCUGAUGAUCAAUGAUAUUAGCUAUGACAGCACGUAUGAGCCUGGGGUAAG
rnacentral:lncRNA from 10 species